UUUCUCGUUGUUGCUAUAAAUCUUGAAUAGGUUCAAGUGUAUGACUUGGAAUAUAUGUCAUGCUCCUAUGUAUUGGCAAGCCAUACUGAAAUUGUUUUGUGCCUCGACACCUGUGUAUCAAGCUCAGGAAGGCAGUGUCUUGUAACUGGAAGUAAGGAUAACAGUGUAAGAUUGUGGAAUUCAGAGAGCAUAAAUUGCAUUGGUAUUGGCAUGGGACACAUGGGAUGUAUUGGAGCUGUUGCUUUUUCAAACAAGUGGAAGAAUUUCUUUGUUAGUGGUAGUAGGUUAGCUCUUCCCCAGGCCAUUCUAUUGAUUCAAUUUUUGGAUUUCACAUGAUGAUGCAACAGUUCCACAAUGAACCACUCUCUGGUGGCCCUAUCGGAGAAUGAGAAAUUGUUAUUGUUGAGAAAUCAUGUUACCCUAUUUGAUAUGUAUCUUUUUGUCUGAGAAAUCAAUCUAGUGUAAUGAUAGAGGUCUUGAGCCUCAGCCACAUGUCACAACAGUCAGGCUUGAGUUUAAGGAACAACCAUUUCAUGUAAAAAUACUGAAGGGUAGGGCUGUCUCCAACAGAUCACCAUUUCAUUGGGACUUAAAUGGAUACUGGCCUUUUUUUUCUUUCUUUAGACUGAUGCACAUAGGAGUUCGGUUUGGUUCUCAAUGUUGGCUAUUUGUCAUUUUUCUUGUUUUCUUCCUUGCCUAAAUUUCUCCAUCUUCUUAUUGUUUUACAUGCACUGUUUGAUUUAAACCAAUCUGAGAUUUUUCUUUUUUAAAACACUCAUGCUGACAUUUAGAUUAACUCAUAAAUGACUGAAUGUGACAAUAACUCUAUAUGCUUUUCUGUUUUUUUUUUGGUAAGUAUGAAACCAGUUUCAUUAUAGAAUUGGAUAAUAUCUCUCUUUUUCUUAGACCUGAUAAUAUCUCUUAUUUUGGAUGUCAUAAAAUAUCCCUAUAACUUUGUUUAGCGAUCGUACCAUCAAGGUGUGGAGUACAGAUGGUAUCUCAGAUGAUGUUGACCAGCCUAUAAAUUUGAAAGCAAAAGCUGUGGUGGCAACCUAUGACAAGGAUAUAAAUUCUCUGGCUAUUGCACCAAAUGAUACUUUAGUUUUUUGCGGUUCACAGGACCGGACAACUUGUGUAUGGAGGCUGCCAGAUCUGGUAUCUGUAGGUGUACUUAAAGGGCAUAAAAGAGGAAUAUGGUCAGUAGAGUUUUCACCAGUUGAUCAGUGUGUCAUAACAGCAUCUGGUGAUAAAACAAUGAAGAUGUGGGCUAUAGCAAAUGGGCCAUGCUUGAAAACAUUUGAAGGGCACACAUCAAGUGUGUUAAGAGCAUCAUUUUUUACUCGUGGCACUCAAUUUGUUUCGUGUGGUGCUGAUUGUGUGGUAAAGCUGUGGACAGUCAAAACAAAUGAAUGCAUUGAUACAUAUGAUCAACAUGAGGACAAGGUAAUGGAUUAGUUUUUAUUUUUUUGAACCAGUUGUCUCUCACUGAA